UACGUAGGUGGCAAGCGUUUGUCCGGAUUUACUGGGCGUAAAGAGCGCGCAGGCGGUCGUUCAAGUCGCGUGUGAAAGCCCCCCGGCUCAACUGGGGGAGGGUCACGCGAUACUGAUCGACUCGAAGGCAGGAGAGGGUAGUGGAAUUCCCGGUGUAGUGGUGAAAUGCGCAGAUAUCAGGAGGAACACCGGUGGCGAAGGCGGAUCUCUGGGCCUUACCUGACGCUGAGGCGCGAAAGCUAGGGGAGCAAACAGG
rnacentral:rRNA from 1 species